GGGGGUCUAGCUCAAUCGGAAGAGCACGUCGUUAGCAACGACGAGGCACCGGGAUCGAAACCCGGGAUCUCCAC
rnacentral:tRNA from 1 species